CAUGACCACAUUUAUUCAGAAAGGACAGACACACACGCACGAACACACACACACAUGAAGAACUAUGUGAGCCAUCCUGUAAAGUUUAUUUCUGUGGUAUCUACCUGUGUUCUUUCUGUAUAUAUUUAUUUUUAUGUGUAAUUUCGCAUAUGUCUGAAUAUAUGCCUUUGGAAGCCAGAGGAGAGCAUCGGAUCCCUGGACCUGAAGUUAGCGAUGCUGUUCAGCCGCCUGAUGUGGAUGCGGGGGAAUCAAAUUUAGGUUCUCUGGAAGAGCAGCAAGUGCUCUCAGGCAUUAAGCCAUCUCCCCCGCCCUUGUAUGUUUUCUUAAUUGAACAAAUUAAGCAAUUCCUCCUGAUACCAUUGUGUGGUGCUCUGGAGUUCAGAGAUGGAGUAGAAAGGGUUUCUUGGCACUGCCACUAGAAGAGACCUACUUCACCAACUUCACCUACUUACCCAUAAGUUGUUUAGAGUGGGGUGAAGAUUUCCCACUUUAGGUUAUGGAAACUAGUAUUGUACGUCAUUACUACACUGACUCCUGGUUGAAGUUGGCCAUAGUGCGAUCGAGUCUUGGAUGUCCAGGCCACUAGCCCUACUCAAGUCUUGGCUUUUCAUAAGCCAAGAGGAAGCUACGAGGUUGGGAAGAUGCUCAAUGGGUAAAGCACUUAUCAGACAAGAAUGAGGAUGUAAAUUUCAAUCCUCCAGGCCUCUGUAAAGGCCGGUGUCUGUAAUCUCUUCGAACCUGCUGGGAUGCAGAAGGAUUCCUGGGCACCCGGGGACAAGGUAACCUGGGGACAAGGUAACCGGGGCUCACAGCAUCAAGGAAGGGAAGGUAGAGAUACCUGAGGUUGUCCUCAAGCAUCCACAUGCGUAUCGUGACACACAUACACACACGAAUGUUUCACACAUGAAUGCAUGUGCACAAAAAUAAGGCAUUGAAACCAAGUUCUUGGGCUGGAGAGAUGGCUCAGCAGUUAAGAGCACUGACUGCUCUUCCAGAGGUCCCGAGUUCAAAUCCCAGCGACCAUGUGGUGGGUCACAGCCAUCCGUAAUUGGAUCCAAUGCCCUCUUCUGGUGUGUCCAAAGGCAGCUACAGUGUACUUAUAUACAGUAAAUAAAUCUCAAAAAAUAUUAAAAAAAAACAA
rnacentral:lncRNA from 1 species